GAUGAACGCUAGCGAUAGGCUUAACACAUGCAAGUCGAGGGGCAGCAUGGUCUUAGCUUGCUAAGACUGAUGGCGACCGGCGCACGGGUGCGUAACGCGUAUGCAACUUGCCUCACAGAGGGGGAUAACCCGUCGAAAGACGGACUAAUACCGCGUACACUCCAUCUUGGGCAUCCAAGGUAGAGGAAAUGAAAUUCGCUGUGAGAUAGGCAUGCGUCCCAUUAGCUAGUUGGUGAGGUAACGGCUCACCAAGGCGACGAUGGGUAGGGGAACUGAGAGGUUGAACCCACACACUGGUACUGAGACACGGACCAGACGCCUACGGGAGGCAGCAGUGAGGAAUAUUGGUCAAUGGGCGAGAGCCUGAACCAGCCAAGUCGCGUGAAGGAUGACUGUCUUAUGGAUUGUAAACUUCUUUUAUACGGGAAUAACAAGAGUCACGUGUGACUCCCUGCAUGUACCGUAUGAAUAAGCAUCGGCUAACUCCGUG
rnacentral:rRNA from 1 species